AGAGUUUGAUCAUGGCUCAGGAUGAACGCUAGCUACAGGCUUAACACAUGCAAGUCGAGGGGCAGCAUGUUGGUUGCUUGCAACCAAUGAUGGCGACCGGCGCACGGGUGAGUAACGCGUAUCCAACCUACCCUUGUCCAUCGGAUAACCCGUCGAAAGGCGGCCUAACACGAUAUGCGGUUCACAGCAGGCAUCUAAGGUGAACGAAAUGUGAAGGAGAAGGAUGGGGAUGCGUCUGAUUAGCUUGUUGGCGGGGUAACGGCCACCAAGGCGACGAUCAGUAGGGGUUCUGAGAGGAAGGUCCCCCACAUUGGAACUGAGACACGGGUCCAAACUCCUACGGAGGCA
rnacentral:rRNA from 1 species